rnacentral:rRNA from 1 species
CACGUAGGGCGCGAGCGUUGUCCGGAAUUAUUGGGCGUAAAGAGCUCGUAGGCGGCCUGUUGCGUCCGCUGUGAAAGCCCGGGGCUUAACCCCGGGUCGCAGUGGAUACGGGCAGGCUAGAGGUAGGUAGGGGAGAAUGGAAUUCCCGGUGUAGCGGUGAAAUGCGCAGAUAGUCGGGAGGAACACCGGUGGCGAAGGCGGGUCUCUGGGACGGUACUGACGCUGAGACGCGAAAGCGUGGGGAGCGAACAGG